ACCAGGGCGGGGGCUUCUCUCACAGCCGCCUUUCUUCUUUUGGUUUAACGAUUUCCUUGCGCUUUUACCUCUCCGCCAUUUCCGCCGUCAACGUGUCGGGUGCGAGAGGGCUUCAGCCGUGGAGCAUCUUCGCUCACAGAAGAAAUCAACGUCAAAGGGUUGCCUGCAUCAGCACGGUGCAGGUAUGGCGACCCCUGUCACGGAUCCGCCGAAGAUCAUCGGCCGCGAGCUUCACCUCGACCGCCUCAUCGGCAGCGGUGGCUUCGGCGAAGUGUAUUUGGCUGUUCGCACCAAGUUGGCAACGAAUCCAAAGCACAACUUCACGUUCCCAGCGGAGUGCGUCGUCAAGGUGAUGCGGCGAGGGCUCUGCACCGAGGAGGAUGUUGCCGCCAUGAAUCGAGAGGUGGCGACGCUGAGCUCAAUGGACCAUCCGUACAUUGUCGCCUAUAUCGGCGCUUGGGUGGAGGCGGCACGCGGGAAGUUCUUCGGCUGCUAUUGCCUGGCCAUGAAGUACUGCGAAGGUGGAGACCUGCACGGGUUCAUUGCGCAGUGUAUCAAGGCUCACCGCCUUCCCCCUGUUGACGUUGCGGUGCGCAUCAUGGCACAAGUCUUCUCUGCCCUCAACUACAGCCACUCACGCCGACUUAUCCACCGCGAUAUCAAGCCGGGUAAUGUGUUUCUGACGCUUCAGAAGAGCGGGGUGCCGGACAAGGCAAUGGUGGGCGACUAUGGUCUUGUGCGCUCACUUGAGGCGACGCGGCAGCUGGUCAAGACGCGCGUGGGGACGCCGACGUACAUUUCACCUGAGAUCGCCGCUGGCGAGGCGUACAGCACCAAGACGGACAUCUUUUCUGCAGGCACCAUGUUCUACGAGCUGCUUUCCCUGCAUCGUCCGUUCUGGAAGCGGAUGAUGACAGACCAGCAGCUGUUUCGCGAGGUCCUGCACCGCGAUCCGAUGCCGCAGUUUCGUGCGUACACGAGCUCCGUCUACGGCACUGCACUGGCCGACGUGAUUGAGGCGUGUCUUACGAAGCACGAGGCAAACAGGGCCACCGCCUACGACGCUCUUGUCCGCCUGACCUCGCCGAUCACCGCGUACGUGCUCAAGUACGCCAUUCCGGUGUACCCGGAAAAGGACGCGUUGACGACGUCUCCGCCGCGCCCGCCUGCCGCGUCAUCCGCGCCCGACGGUCACGCAUCCGCAGCGGAUGCGGAUGGAGACGCUGCCACGGCGCGUCAACGGCUAGAGCGUCUGUUCCUUGUCCGCAAAGGCACAGCAGUGGGUGCCAGACUCACGCGCCUGCUGUCGCACAAUGCCGAGCUUCUCUUCCAAGUACGCGUCCUGGUCGCCUGCCGCAGUGACAAUACUGACCAUCUCGAGAAUGGCUUGGCAGAGCUGCUCUGGGCGUUUCCAGAUGCAGAGGUACCCUUUCAGGAAGUAAUCGAUUUAGUUAUGAGUGACUACCGCCAACUUGCGGAGUAAGGGUGGCUGAGGGACCCCAGCGCUGCCUGGUGGGCUCCUCGCGCUUUUCCGACAAGAGGUGCAUAUGCAUGUGCGGGCAACAUCUUCGCAGAUCGCACGGAGGUGUGCUGGCGUACGGCCAUCACGCCAUCUGCAGCUGUCCGUGGGGAACGAGCAUUUUUUAUCUUCUAUUCUCAGCUCACUGUUGCCUACCCUCCAUUUGCCUCUCGUCUCUCUCUCUCUAUCGUUUGAGUUGUACUCUCACCUGUCUGCCCUUAAUCUUGCCCCCUCCUCCUCCCCCUCCCUCCAUCUCUUCCCCAUUCCUUUGUACCCUUCACCUCUCAUUCCCCGCUCUCCUCCUCGCUUCUUGCCUGCUGCUUGUUGUGUGACUCCAG
rnacentral:misc_RNA from 1 species